ACGGUGCAUCUUUUAAAUUAUACAACACAUAAAAUAUUUAAAUAUAAAAUAAAAAAAUAGUGAAGCUUUUUCCUUUGUUUCCUAUGGUAUACAAAAGAAGAUCCUUCACUCACUUUUAAGGUAGAUACUCGAUUGAUGACGCCUUCAUAAUUAAAGCGUUUUUGGCCAACAAAUAAUAAUUAAAGCGUUCUAUGUCUCAGGGCAUAAUACCACUAAACUAAAUUCAAUAAAAAAAUGUAAUUAAAGAAUGCAUGAUUAUAAAUGCCUUCACCAUGCACCAGAUAUACAUUUGAACAUGGAUCAAGCGGAGCAGCAGUGAUCAACGGAGAUCUAUACCCAUAUGUGGAAACAUUAGUAAAUGUUGCCCUUGAUAAUGGAAGAAAAUCGUGGGGUUACAAGUAGACAGCAACGGUAUUUACAUACAUAUUUCUUUACGACAGGAUCUUAUCAGAGCCUCUGUCAGUAACCUC